rnacentral:rRNA from 1 species
GUGCCAGCAGCCGCGGUAAUACGGAGGGUGCAAACGUUGCUCGGAAUCAUUGGGCGUAAAGCGCGCGUAGGCGGUUCGGCAUGUCGGGUGUGAAAGCCCUCGGCUUAACCGAGGAAGUGCAUUCGAAACUACCGAACUUGAGUACCGGAGAGGGUCGCGGAAUUCCCGGUGUAGAGGUGAAAUUCGUAGAUAUCGGGAGGAACACCAGCGGCGAAGGCGGCGACCUGGACGGAUACUGACGCUGAGGCGCGAAAGCGUGGGGAGCAAACAGGAUUAGAUACCCUGGUAGUCCACGCCGUAAACGAUGGAUGCUAGAUGUCGCGGGUAUUGACCCCUGCGGCGUCGCAGAUAACUCAUUAAGCAUCCCGCCUGGGGAGUACGGCCGCAAGGCUAAAACUCAAAGGAAUUGACGG